rnacentral:tRNA from 1 species
GGCUCGGUAGCUUAGUUGGUAAAGCACUUGUCUAGCGAAUAGGGGUCGUGAGUUCAAAUCUCACCAGAGCUG